GACGAACGCUGGCGGCGUGCUUAACACAUGCAAGUCGAACGGAAAGGCUCCAGCUUGCUGGAGUACUCGAGUGGCGAACGGGUGAGUAACACGUGGGUAAUCUGCCCUGCACUCUGGGAUAAGCCUGGGAAACUGGGUCUAAUACUGGAUAUGACCUUUCUCCUUAUGGGGUUUGGUGGAAAGUUUUUCGGUGUAGGAUGAGCCCGCGGCCUAUCAGCUUGUUGGUGGGGUGAUGGCCUACCAAGGCGACGACGGGUAGCCGGCCUGAGAGGGUGAUCGGCCACAUUGGGACUGAGAUACGGCCCAGACUCCUACGGGAGGCAGCAGUGGGGAAUAUUGCACAAUGAGCGGAAGCCUGAUGCAGCGACGCCGCGUGAGGGAUGACGGCCUUCGGGUUGUAAACCUCUUUCAGCAGGGACGAAGCGUAAGUGACGGUACCUGCAGAAGAAGCACCGGCUAACUAUGUG
rnacentral:rRNA from 1 species